AUCAUCAGUAUCCGAUGGUCCAAUCUUCAAUGUAAUGGAUCUUGUUCCAGUAAAACCUUCCCAAAGAGUCCAAUCAUGUUCAACAACAACCAGUACAUUGCCAAGCCCAAAUCAAGCGCACUGUUGCUGUUGUAGUGACUCUGAAAUGAGAGCCUUAAAGAAGAGAAAACUAGAGUUGCAGAUAAAGUUUUAUGAGAGACAACUUAAAUUGUAAAAUGACCUAUUAGUUAGUGUUUCUUUGUUAGUUUUUCAAUAAUCUUU